UGCGCCCUCUUAUUCUUCAUGCAAAAAAAUUUUUUCAUAAAUUUUUCUCAUACCCAAAAGAUUUUCUAUAUCCUCAUCUGAUUUCUUUUAAAUUAAAAAUUAGUUAUUUAAAUUUAAGUUCAAAUGGAUUUGAAUUUGAAUGAAAAUCUAGAAUCCAAAUUGAGUUGGACUCUUCUCUUCAUGCCACCAUCUUUCUUCAUGCAUAAAGUAUUUUUGCAUGAGAUUUUUUAUGCCAUUCUAAUGUUGGUUGAUCCCUCUCUAAGUUCAUAAGAUGAGGAUAAAAUUUAGUUAAAAAUUUAAUUCAAAUUUGAUUUGAAUUGGUGAUAAAGAUCAACCAACGUUUGA
rnacentral:lncRNA from 1 species